AACGAACGCUGGCGGCAGGCUUAACACAUGCCAGUCGAGCGCCCCGCCAGGGGAGCGGCCGACGGGUGAGUAACGCGUGGGAACGUACCUUUUGGUUCGGAACAACUCCGGGAAACUGGAGCUAAUACCGGAUAAGCCCUAACGGGGAAAGAUUUAUCGCCGAAAGAUCGGCCCGCGUCUGAUUAGCUAGUUGGUGAGGUAACGGCUCACCAAGGCGACGAUCAGUAGCUGGUCUGAGAGGAUGAUCAGCCACACUGGGACUGAGACACGGCCCAGACUCCUACGGGAGGCAGCAGUGGGGAAUAUUGGACAAUGGGCGCAAGCCUGAUCCAGCCAUGCCGCGUGAGUGAUGAAGGCCUUAGGGUUGUAAAGCUCUUUUGUCCGGGAAGAUAAUGACUGUACCGGAAGAAUAAGCCUCGGCUAACUUCGUG
rnacentral:rRNA from 1 species